AACACCAGCCUGGGGGCUGCUGCGGGAUCUCCUGGAGCGACUUGGGGCUGUCGCCACUUCAUCCCCACGGACUCAGGAGGACCCUGCCACCCGGACCAGGCUCGGGCAUCCGGAGCAUCUCACCCUUCUUGAGAAGUGCCUACCUCACGUGCCACCUCUGGGUUUCCUUCGCAAAGUCCCCCAAGAUGUAGAAUUUAGAAGAAGUAGCUCUGAGUUGAGCGGAACCUCUGAAGAAGGAAGCAGCGGCCUCAGCCUCUUACAGCUUCAAGAGCCACUGCGGGAAGGAGCCAGAGGGCUUCCCCAGGACAGGAUUAAAAUAGAUGCCAGCGGCCGCCCCGCGGACCCCGCAGCCAAUCAGCCUGGUGGUUGGAAUUGGGCAAGGGCAGCUGGAGCGUUGCGAAACAGGAGAUGCUUCCAGGCUUCUCUGAGUUUUUGAGAAGGGCGCUGGUUUCCUCAGACAUGUCUUUACAUGUUCUUCGGGAAUGAACCUGCAGUAGCCUUUCAGCCAGAAGUGAGGAUGCACAACAUGCUUGAACCUAAUUACAAGUUAAAGAUGAACCAAGGACAAGAACUUUAACCUGGCCACACAGCUGAAGGCUAGACUCCUGAUAGCAAACACCAGUAAAUCUUCAUUCUUGGCCCAAAGCAAACAAAAGAUAAACAGACAACCGUAGAUCAUCUGAAUUCCUUCCUGUCUUAGAGACUACUGAAUUCUUCACCAACAAGACAGCUCUUAGGUGACUGAAGGCUAAACCAACAUGUGGUCCUUUGUUUGCCAGAAAGUCAUGACAUGCUGUCACACCCAAGGCCCAUAUUGCCCUGAGAAGAGAGAAAUAAAACAUGCAAGGAAUGAA